ACAAACUUGGUCAUUUAGAGGAAGUAAAAGUCGUAACAAGGUCUCCGUUGGUGAACCAGCGGAGGGAUCAUUACAGGACUCGCAAGACUCCCGUAAACCACUGUGAACUUACCUACAACCCGUUGCCUCGGCGGGUGCUCCCGGGGGGCGCCUUCGGGCGCCUCUGGGGCGCGCCAGCCCGCCGGUGGCCCUUUAAACUCUUGUUUUUGUACACGUUAGCAUCUCCGAGCAGACUAUAAACGAGUCAAAACUUUCAACAACGGAUCUCUUGGUUCUGGCAUCGAUGAAGAACGCAGC
rnacentral:misc_RNA from 1 species